UACGUAGGGUGCGAGCGUUGUCCGGAAUUAUUGGGCGUAAAGAGCUCGUAGGCGGUGUGUCACGUCGGCCGUGAAAACCUGGGGCUUAACUCUGGGCGUGCGGUCGAUACGGGCAUCACUAGAGUUCGGCAGGGGAGACUGGAAUUCCUGGUGUAGCGGUGAAAUGCGCAGAUAUCAGGAGGAACACCGGUGGUGAAGGCGGGUCUCUGGGCCGAUACUGACGCUGAGGAGCGAAAGCAUGGGUAGCGAACAGG
rnacentral:rRNA from 1 species